rnacentral:lncRNA from 1 species
UUCCUAUAAAGAAGAGAAAAGUUUAAUGAUAUAAUAUAAUUGGGAAAUAUUGAUCAAAAAGGAGAUAUAAAUGAAACUUAAAGUACUAUGGAUGUCCUGAAUCCAAGACUCGAAUGUGCACUUUCUAAGCUUUCUUUAGGAGUAGACUUCCUUUGGCGUUUUAUUUUCAUGCGGGUUAAUUGAGGUUAUCUUUCUUAUUCUCCUCCUUCAUCAUAACCAUCG